AGAGUGGAGACAGGAUACUGCUGGCAGACUGUCAGAGUGUUGAACAUGCAAAUUCUGGAGAUAUUAUUUGGCAAAAUGAUGAAACGAACACUCUUCUAGCCAACUGUAUAUCUGUAGAACUGGAUAUAAUGAAUCCUGAAAACACAUCGUACAUCGCAAAGGAUUGUGUAAACGGAACUAAUGUAAAUUGCUAGGAUUGUGUAAACGGAACUAAUGUAAAUUGCUAGGAUUGUGUAAACGGAACUAAUGUAAAUUGCUAGGAUUAUGUAAACGGAACUAAUGUUAAUUGCUAGGAUUGUGUAAACGGAACUAAUGUUAAUUGCUAGGAUUGUGUAAACGGAACUAAUGUAAAUUGCUAGGAUUGUGUAAACGGAACUAAUGUAGAUUGCUAGGAUCGUGUAAACGGAACUAAUGUAAAUUGAUAGGAUUGUGUCAACAGAACUAAUGUAAAUUGCUAGGAUUGUGUAAACGGAACAAUGUUAAUUGCUAGGAUUGUGUAAACGGAACUAAUGUUAAUUGCUAGGAUUGUGUAAACGGAACUAAUGUAAAUUGCUAGGAUUGUGUAAACGGAACUAA